UACGAAGGGGGCUAGCGUUGCUCGGAAUCACUGGGCGUAAAGCGCACGUAGGCGGAUUGCUAAGUCAGGGGUGAAAUCCUGGAGCUCAACUCCAGAACUGCCUUUGAUACUGGCGAUCUUGAGUCCGGGAGAGGUGGAGUGGAACUGCGAGUGUAGAGGUGAAAAUUCGUAGAUAUUCGCAAGAACACCAGUGGCGAAGGCGGCUCACUGGCCCGGUACUGACGCUGAGGUGCGAAAGCGUGGGGAGCAAACAGG
rnacentral:rRNA from 1 species